GACCAGACUCCUACGGGAGGCAGCAGUGGGGAAUAUUGCACAAUGGGGGAAACCCUGAUGCAGCGACGCCGCGUGAGUGAGGAAGUAUUUCGGUAUGUAAAGCUCUCUCAGCAGGGAAGAAAAUGACGGUACCUGACUAAGAAGCCCCGGCUAACUACGUGCCAGCAGCCGCGGUAAUACGUAGGGGGCAAGCGUUAUCCGGAUUUACUGGGUGUAAAGGGAGCGUAGACGGCUAAUCAAGUCAGAAGUGAAAACCCUGGGCUCAACCUUGGGAGUGCUUUUGAAACUGAGUAGCUAGAGUGCAGGAGAGGUAAGCGGAAUUCCUAGUGUAGCGGUGAAAUGCGUAGAUAUUAGGAGGAACACCAGUGGCGAAGGCGGCUUACUGGACUGUAACUGACGUUGAGGCUCGAAAGCGUGGGGAGCAAACAGGAUUAGAUACCCGUGUAU
rnacentral:rRNA from 1 species